rnacentral:rRNA from 1 species
UCAAACUUGAGAGUUUGAUCCUGGCUCAGAACGAACGCUGGCGGCAUGCCUAACACAUGCAAGUCGAACGAGAUCUUCGGAUCUAGUGGCGCACGGGUGCGUAACGCGUGGGAAUCUGCCUUGGGGUUCGGAAUAACUCCCCGAAAGGGGUGCUAAUACCGGAUGAUGUCGAAAGACCAAAGAUUUAUCGCCCUGAGAUGAGCCCGCGUAGGAUUAGCUAGUU